UGGGCGGCGCGCUUAACACAUGCAAGUCGCACGAGAAAGCCGGAGCAAUCUGGUGAGUAAAGUGGCGUACGGGUGAGUAACACGUGGAUCAUUUUACCUCUUGGUGGGGAAUAACCCUGGGAAACCGGGGCUAAUACCGCAUAAGCCUGCGAAGGGAAAGCAGCAAUGCGCCGAGAGAGGAGUCCGCGGCCGAUUUAGCUAGUUGGUAGGGUAAUGGCCUACCAAGGCAAUGAUCGGUAGCCGGCCUGAGAGGGCACACGGCCACACUGGCACUGAAACACGGGCCAGACUCCUACGGGAGGCAGCAGUGGGGAAUCUUGCACAAUGGAGGCAACUCUGAUGCCAGCGACGCCGCGUGAGCGAUGAAGCCCUUCGGGGUGUAAAGCUCUUUCGACGGGAACGAUUAUGACGGUACCCGGAGAAGAAGCUGCGGCUAACUACGUGCCAGCAGCCGC
rnacentral:rRNA from 1 species